AUUGAACGCUGGCGGCAGGCCUAACACAUGCAAGUCGAACGGUAGCACAGAGGAGCUUGCUCCUCGGGUGACGAGUGGCGGACGGGUGAGUAAUGUCUGGGGAUCUGCCCGAUAGAGGGGGAUAACCACUGGAAACGGUGGCUAAUACCGCAUAACGUCGCAAGACCAAAGAGGGGGACCUUCGGGCCUCUCACUAUCGGAUGAACCCAGAUGGGAUUAGCUAGUAGGCGGGGUAACGGACCAACUAGGCGACGAUCACUAGCUGGUCUGAGAGGAUGACCAGCAACACUGGACCGGGGACACGGUCCAGACUCCUACGGGAGGCAGCAGUGGGGAAUAUGGCACAAUGGGCGCAAGCCUGAUGCAGCCAUGCCGCGUGUAUGAAGAAGGCCUUCGGGUUGUAAAGUACUUUCAGCGGGGAGGAAGGCGAUGUGGUUAAUAACCGCGUCGAUUGACGUUACCCGCAGAAGAAGCACCGGCUAACUCCGUGCCAGCAGCCGCCGUAA
rnacentral:rRNA from 1 species